rnacentral:rRNA from 1 species
AGAUUGAACGCUGGCGGCAUGCCUUACACAUGCAAGUCGAACGGCAGCACGGGAGCAAUCCUGGUGGCGAGUGGCGAACGGGUGAGUAAUAUAUCGGAACGUGCCCAGUCGUGGGGGAUAACGCAGCGAAAGCUGUGCUAAUACCGCAUACGAUCUCUGGAUGAAAGCGGGGGACUCGCAAGGGCCUCGCGCGAUUGGAGCGGCCGAUAUCAGAUUAGCUAGUUGGUGGGGUAAAGGCCCACCAAGGCGACGAUCUGUAGCUGGUCUGAGAGGACGACCAGCCACACUGGAACUGAGACACGGUCCAGACCUCCGUACGGGAGCAGCA